UUUGAGCAGUCAUAACUCCUAGAUCAGGAUGAUUUAGGAGUAGUCCCAGUUAUGUUUGCGAAGCUCAUGGAAUAAUCUUUCCAACGCCACCGAGUUUUCUCGAUUCCGAGUUCGUAUAAGUGAGUUAUGCCCUUUGGAAGUUGGGCAGUUGGCAGGGAAAUCCGUCCGGAAAUUUUAAGGGCAUUUUGGUCUUUUCACUAAUCAAUUGUUUUGGUUAUAUUAAAGUGUUAGACUGAUUUUAGAUCAGUUUGUCUCAUUUUUUUUAAAGAGUAAAGAGCUAGGGCUUGGGAGAGAAGAGAGAAAGAAGAGAAGGAAGAGGAGAAAGAGAAGAGCAAUCAAGGAGAUCAUCGUGGAUAUCGUCGGGGGUGAUCCCUACUAGGUAUGUGAGUUCAUAGUGUUGGUUGGUUCUUUCCCCCACACGCCAAACUCGUUUAAUUUCGAAAAAAGAAAGAAAGAUUGAUUAUGUUUGUUGAAGUUGUUGGUUGUAUUUGAUGAAGUUGUUGGUUGUGAUUGUGUUGAAGUUCUUGUGAUUUGGGACAUGUUUCCGGUUGUUAGAGUUGUAAAGAAACAAGGGGAAAAGUCGGAUUUUUGGGGGAAAAGGGCUGGGCUGUCGUGCAAGCCAGCGCACCCCAAAAAGGAACACUGAACUUUCCCCUUGGGGCAGAGCACCUGGCAGAGCGCCCAGCAGUCCUUCUGAAGUUUGAGGGCUGGCGCCCCGCGCCUCUUAGAGCUCCAAGGACGCCAAUCCUUCCCUUUACCUUUCAUUCCCCCAUUUUUCAUACAUGUUCCUUGGCAUUGUACCUAUGUUUUAUAGUUGUUUUCAACACUCCAAAGUACGUCUAAACGUCAAGAACUCAUCCAUAAACAUGUGAUCAUAUACCUUGAAUCCAUAAUCCAAUUCAAGGCAAGUUAGGAUCAAAGUCAAGUGAAGUUAGAGCCAAGCUUAGAAGUUAAGCAAGUCAAGCAUGUUUUUUUUAAAGUUGUUCAAGAGUCUUUAGUAAAUGUUUUAACUUCAUUUUUAAGACUCAAGUUUCAAGUCAAGUAAAAGGGAAUUUCAAGCAAGUCUUCAAAGUUGUUCAAGAGUCCUUAUUAAACGUUUUCACCUCAUUCUAAGGCUCAAGUCGCAAGUCUAGUAAAGAGUAAAGAGCUUAGAGUUUCAAGCUAAGAAAGAGGUCUCAAGUUUCAAGUUGAGUCAAGAGUUUAAAGUUGAGUUCAUUUCUCAAAAGUUAUUAGGGAACUAUGUAUUUCCCAAAGAAGUUUCUAAAUGUUUUUACAUUUGAGUAAGAAAGGAACAUCGAUUCCAAAAGAGCCUUUGGGCUAAAUUUUGAGUAAUUAUCUCAAGUUAAAGAAAGAUGUGUUUAAAGCACUUAUGAGCCAACGUAUAUUUUUGGGAGUAGUCUUGAGCACCGAGUUGGGGACACGAGUUCAUAUGUAACAUCCGACAAUUUGAAAUGGCUAAGAAGAGGCUUAAGAAUAUGAAAUUUUCAUUUUGGAUUGAAUUUUAAAAAUCUGGAAAAUUUUGGCCAAGUAUGGGAAAGGUGAGUUUUUGGCCAACUUUGAACAGCCAUAAAUUCUAUAUCAGGAUGAUUUAGGUGGAGUUCCAGUUAUGGUUGCAAAGUUCGUGGAAUUAUCUUUCCAACGCCACCAAGUUUGCUCGAUGCUGAGUUCGUAUGAGUGAGAUAUGCCCUUUUAAAGUUGGGCAGUUGACAGGGAAUCCGUCCGGAAAUUUUAAGGGCAUUUUGGUCUUUUCCCUAACCAAUUCCUUUGGUUAUAUUGUAGUGUGGGACUGAUUUUUAGAUCAUUUUUAUUCCAUUUCAAAGGAGUGAGAGUGAGGGUUUUGAGAGAAGAAGAAGAGGAGAAGAGAGAAAGAAGAGAAGAAGAAGAGGAGAUCAAGGAACUUCCAUCAAAGAUCGUCGUGGUAUUGUCGGGGGUGAUCCCUAUUAAGGUAUGUGAGUUCAUAGUGUGGGUUGAUCCUUUCCCCCACACACC
rnacentral:lncRNA from 1 species